rnacentral:rRNA from 1 species
GGGCCCGCACAAGCGGUGGAGCAUGUGGUUUAAUUCGAUGAUACGCGAGGAACCUUACCAGGGCUUAAAUGUAGUGGGACAGGUCUAGAGAUAGACCCUUCUUCGGACUCAUUACAAGGUGCUGCAUGGUUGUCGUCAGCUCGUGCCGUGAGGUGUCAGGUUAAGUCCUAUAACGAGCGCAACCCCUAUCGUUAGUUGCCAUCAAGUAAAGUUGGGAACUCUAGCGAAACUGCCGGUGCAAACCGUGAGGAAGGUGGGGAUGACGUCAAAUCAUCACGGCCCUUACGUUCUGGGCUACACACGUGCUACAAUGGCCGGUACAGAAAGCAGCCACUAUGCGAAUAGGAGCUAAUCUUUAAAACCGGUCUCAGUUCGGAUCGCAGUCUGCAACUCGACUGCGUGAAGCUGGAAUCGCUAGUAAUCG